UACUAGAGUAGCACUCGCAUAUCAAUAGCGGAGGAAAAGAAACUAACUAGGAUUCCCUCAGUAACGGCGAGUGAAGCGGGAAGAGCUCAAAUUUGAAAUCUUCAAGGUUCUACCUUGACGAAUUGUAGUUUAAAGAAGUGUUUUCUGUUGGAGUUUUGGUAAAAGUUCUUUGGAAUAGGACAUCAUAGAGGGUGAGAAUCCCGUAUUUGACCAUUAUUUUCAGCUGUGUGAUACACUUUCAAAGAGUCGGAUUGUUUGGGAAUGCAGUCCAAAAUGGGUGGUAAACUUCAUCUAAAGCUAAAUACUGGCGAGAGACCGAUAGCGAACAAGUACCGUGAGGGAAAGAUGAAAAGAACUUUGAAAAGAGAGUUAAACAGUACGUGAAAUCGUCAAAAGGGAAGCGUUUGACACCAGUGUUGUUUUCUCGAAAAUCAAUUAAAAUGGUGGAUUUGCUAAGUUGUAAUUGACUUUAUCAGCUUUCUGCACUUUUUUCCUAUCUUUUUUAAUGCACUUUUCGUUUAACAAGUCAACAUCAAUUUCUUUUGCUGUAAAAGAGUCAUUGGAAGGUGGCUUUCUUUUCGGAGAAAGUGUUUAUAGCCUUUGACUUCUGCAGUCGGAGAGAUUGAGGUCUGCAGCGUAGAUCCUUCGGGGUUAGAUACAUUUGUGCUAAGCUAUAGCCUUUCAUAGACAACUUGUUGACUAUGAUCAGUCAUGUAGCUUACUCGCUUAUGCUAUUUUACCUACGCUUAGGAUGUUGAUAGUCACAGCGUGUA
rnacentral:rRNA from 1 species